rnacentral:rRNA from 1 species
UACCAAGAGACUAAGUCGUAUAUCUUGGUAAAAAGAUAGUUAGGUUGAAAUUAUAGUUUAUUAAUUAUUUAUUCAAAGGUAAAAUUUACAAAUAAAUAUAAUAAAUCAAAAAUAGCUUAUGAAACUGAAGCUAUGACAUCCUUGAGGGAAACUGGGAUUGGAUACCCCACUAUUCUUGGGCGUAAAGAAGUUUUAUUUACCAGAGUACUAUGAGUAUUACAGCUUAAAACUCAAAGGGCUUGGCGGUGUUUUAGAUCACUCAGGGGAACCUGUUUCGUAAUCGACAGUCCACGUUACACCUAACCUUCUUUUGUUUUCAGCCUGUAUACCGUCGUCGCCAGGUAACUUUUAAGAAUUAAAAAGCUAGCAGACAAAUUGUUGGGUUUAGACGUCAGAUCAGGGUGCAGCCUAUAUGAAGGGGAGAAUGGGUUACAAUUAUAAAGUUAUAAUUACGGAAAAUUGGCUGAAACGCUAAUUUAAAAGGAGGACUUGAAAGUAAUAUCUUUGUAUAAAAAUAUUUUGAAUUAGACUCUGAAACGUGC